AUGGCGCACAGCCUCGGAGGGCUCUACGCGCUGCAGUUCCUGGCAUGCGCCCCGCCCGCCUGGCGCGCGGCGCACGUGAAGCGGCUGGUGACGCUGUCCGCGCCGUGGGGCGGCUCCGUGCAGGAGAUGCUCACCUUCGCCUCCGGCAACACCCUCGAUGUGCCCUUCGUCGACCCCUCCCUCAUCCGCGACGAGCAGCGCAGCUCCGAGAGCAACCUCUGGCUGCUGCCCAUGCCCAAGGUCUUCGGCAACACCACACUUGUCGUGUCCCAGCGCCACAACCGCACCUACUCCGCCAAGAGCGUUACGCAGUUCCUCAACGACAUCGGGUUCGCCGACGGGGUUGAGCCAUACCGGGCGCGGAUAUGGCCGCUCGGUGAGGUCCUGCCGGAGCCCGGCAUGCCGGUCACGUGCCUCGUCGGCACCGGCGUCGACACCAUGGAGAGCCUCGUGUUCGGGGACGGGGGGUUCGACGCGGGUCCCGUCAAGGUCGUGUAUGGCGACGACGACGGGACGGUGAACCUCGCCAGCCUCAUGGGACCGAUCAAGGCCUGGUCCGACUCGCCGGCGCAGGUCCUGUAG
rnacentral:rRNA from 1 species